GUGUGUGUGUGCGCAUAUAUAUAUAUAUAUAUAUAUAUAUAUAUAUAUAUAUAUAUACACACACACACGUGUAUAUGUAUGUAUAUGUACACACACAUAUAUAUACAUACAUAUAUAUGUAU
rnacentral:miRNA from 1 species